CAGAGGUGUAAUUCUGUGAUUGAAUUUCCUGUCCUGGCUCCCACACAUAUCAGAGAAGCAGAUCUAUUUGAAAUCCAUUAAUAUGAAUGCAAAUACUCUGGUAGAAGAAAUUAAAGUUCCAUAUAAAUUGUGCAAUUAUUCUUGUUCAUUCCUUCUUUACUGCCAUCUUCUGCCUUUGGGACCAACAGAGGAAUCUAAAGAGCUUCUAGGAUGUCAUUGCUGUGACGUGAUGUUGCCCUCUGCCGGUCAUGCAUGGAAAUGCUUCAUUUCAUUGAGUCAAAGGAGCACAGACAACUGCUUAUACGAGCCGAAGUCUAUGUUGAGUUCCCCCCAAAAUUAAAAGAACAACAAUUAUAAAACGCGUUUUUUUUUUUUUUUU
rnacentral:lncRNA from 1 species